rnacentral:sRNA from 1 species
AUAUAUAUAUAUAAAUGAAAUAAAGAAGAUAUAUACAUGCAAUAAAAAUGCAAAGCUUGCCAAGUUUGAAUUACCAACAAUAAAAGUAUAUUAAACAUAAUUGCAAUUGUUUAAACACACACACACACACACACACACACACACACGCAACACGCGAACAGCACAUACAUAGGCAAAAGUUUGUGAUAUUUUUAUGAUAUUAGCAAUAAAGUAUACAACGAAAAUAUAAUAAAGAAGUAAAUACAAAUAUUACAAAUAAAAAUAUUAAAUGUGUGGUGCGCUCACAAAUUAUCAACAACAAGAACAACAACAACAGAAACAACGACCAGAAGAAGAACAACAACAAUAGCAACGGGCAGCUGCCAUUUAUUGGAUAAUGCUUGGAUAAUGCUUGCCAAAGCGCCCUAAACAAACGAGAAUAUGCCAGAGGCUAUUGUAGUAGCAACAACAUCCUAACUCAACGAGCCAAAUCGCUCCCGUCAGGUCGCCCGCAAGAAUCCCUGGCCGCGCAAGGUUAGGCUACUCAAGAAUCGCCAGAAGGUUGCUAGCACGACGCCCACGCCACAAAAAGUUGACCUAAUGACGAUGGCAGAAGGCACCGACCCCAUGGGGCAUCAUCAUCACGCCGCCGGCUCGCACAAUCCCCACCAUUAUCAUCAUCAUCAUCCACACUCGCAUCAGCACCACCAUCCAGCGCAGUAUCA